GAGGCCAUUGGCCAAGUUCAUUAGCCAUGGAUCUUACCAGUAAACUUUUCACCCUCAAUGGGCUUAUGUGUGAGGGGUUAGAAGUAGGUUUUUUCCUCCCAGAUAGUAUAAAGCCCUCAUU